rnacentral:rRNA from 1 species
CGACCGGCGCACGGGUGCGUAACGCGUAUGCAACCUACCUUUAACAGGGGGAUAACACUGAGAAAUUGGUACUAAUACCCCAUAACAUCAUAGAAGGCAUCUUUUAUGGUUGAAAAUUCCGAUGGUUAGAGAUGGGCAUGCGUUGUAUUAGCUAGUUGGUGGGGUAACGGCUCACCAAGGCGACGAUACAUAGGGGGACUGAGAGGUUAACCCCCCACACUGGUACUGAGACACGGACCAG